AGCAGCUUCAUCUCGGCGAACAGCAGAUUAAUGAAUUAAAAGAAGAGCUUGUCCAAGAUAAAUUAAAAUCCCCGGAGAAAAACCAAAACCAAAAAGCCGCCUGUGAGGACGAGCAGGACGAUUCCGGUUUAGGAACCAGCCGGGGCCCCGCUGAUAAGAUGCCGGCGGCCAAAAGGGCCAAAAGGGGUCCAACUAAGAGGAAGAAGGAGCAGCAGGGCGAUGAG